AGUGAACGCUGGCGGUAGGCCUAACACAUGCAAGUCGAACGGCAGCACAGAGGAGCUUGCUCCUUGGGUGGCGAGUGGCGGACGGGUGAGGAAUACAUCGGAAUCUACUCUGUCGUGGGGGAUAACGUAGGGAAACUUACGCUAAUACCGCAUACGACCUACGGGUGAAAGCAGGGGAUCUUCGGACCUUGCGCGAUUGUAUGAGCCGAUGUCGGAUUAGCUAGUUGGCGGGGUAAAGGCCCACCAAGGCGACGAUCCGUAGCUGGUCUGAGAGGAUGAUCAGCCACACUGGAACUGAGACACGGUCCAGACUCCUACGGGAGGCAGCAGUGGGGAAUAUUGGACAAUGGGCGCAAGCCUGAUCCAGCCAUACCGCGUGGGUGAAGAAGGCCUUCGGGUUGUAAAGCCCUUUUGUUGGGAAAGAAAUCCAUCUGGUUAAUACCCGGGUGGGAUGACGGUACCCAAAGAAAAAGCACCGGCUAACUUCGUGCCAGCAGCCGCCGUAA
rnacentral:rRNA from 1 species